CAGCAGCCGCCGCGGGAAUACGGAGGGAGCUAGCGUUGUUCGGAAUUACUGGGCGUAAAGCGCACGUAGGCGGUUAUUCAAGUCAGAGGUGAAAGCCCGGGGCUCAACCCCGGAACUGCCUUUGAAACUAGAUGACUAGAAUCUUGGAGAGGUCAGUGGAAUUCCGAGUGUAGAGGUGAAAUUCGUAGAUAUUCGGAAGAACACCAGUGGCGAAGGCGACUGACUGGACAAGUAUUGACGCUGAGGUGCGAAAGCGUGGGGAGCGAACAGGAUUAGAUACCCCGGUAGUCCCUGUCUCUUAUAC
rnacentral:rRNA from 1 species